rnacentral:rRNA from 1 species
GCAGUCGACGAUGAACCACUUCGGUGGGGAUUAGUGGCGAACGGGUGAGUAACACGUGGGCAAUCUGCCCUGCACUCUGGGACAAGCCCUGGAAACGGGGUCUAAUACCGGAUAUUGACCUUCACGGGCAUCUGUGAGGUUCGAAAGCUCCGGCGGUGCAGGAUGAGCCCGCGGCCUAUCAGCUUGUUGGUGAGGUAAUGGCUCACCAAGGCGACGACGGGUAGCCGGCCUGAGAGGGCGACCGGCCACACUGGGACUGAGACACGGCCCAGACUCCUACGGGAGGCAGCAGUGGGGAAUAUUGCACAAUGGGCGAAAGCCUGAUGCAGCGACGCCGCGUGAGGGAUGACGGCCUUCGGGUUGUAAACCUCUUUCAGCAGGGAAGAAGCGAAAGUGACGGUACCUGCAGAAGAAGCGCCGGCUAACUACGUGCCAGCAGCCGCGGUAAUACGUAGGGCGCAAGCGUUGUCCGGAAUUAUUGGGCGUAAAGAGCUCGUAGGCGGCUUGUCACGUCGGUUGUGAAAGCCCGGGGCUUAACCCCGGGUCUGCAGUCGAUACGGGCAGGCUAGAGUUCGGUAGGGGAGAUCGGAAUUCCUGGUGUAGCGGUGAAAUGCGCAGAUAUCAGGAGGAACACCGGUGGCGAAGGCGGAUCUCUGGGCCGAUACUGACGCUGAGGAGCGAAAGCGUGGGGAGCGAACAGGAUUAG